UACGUAGGGGGCAAGCGUUAUCCGGAAUUACUGGGUGUAAAGGGAGCGUAGACGGUAAUGUAAGUCUGGAGUGAAAGGCGGGGGCCCAACCCCCGGACUGCUCUGGAAACUAUGUUACUAGAGUGCAGGAGGGGCAGGCGGAAUUCCUGGUGUAGCGGUGAAAUGCGUAGAUAUCAGGAGGAACACCGGUGGCGAAGGCGGCCUGCUGGACUGCAACUGACGUUGAGGCCCGAAAGCGUGGGGAGCAAACAGG
rnacentral:rRNA from 1 species